CCAAUGAUGCUUCAACAAAACUACAAGCUCGUGCAGAUUGUUCUGCUCUGGACUACAUAAUGUUGGUUAUGCGUGUGGCUGAACUCCUCCUAAUUACUGUGAUUACUGUUCUUCUCAUCAGAGCUCGAGAGACUACCUGACAACAACACAGUGACCUACAGCAGCG